AGGACCCGAGCCUCAGGCAGUGUCUAGAUGAGCCUUGACCCCAGGGGAGGGUGGUCUUGUAUCAGGAGGCCACAAAUACAGGCUCUUCUUUUCUUUCUUUUUUUUAGAUUUAUUUAUUUAAGUAUACAAGAACUGGGGUACAGGCCAGAGGUGUGGGAGGUAAGAGGAUUCACCAGAGACAGAGUGGGGAGCAGAACAGGCAGACUGACUGAAAUACACUGCCGAGAGGAGCAGCGGGAGGACACAGCUGCCCCUGCUGGAUUCAUUGCUGAAUCCCCAGUGCCUUGCACAGUGCCUGACCAUGAUAUGUGAGUUAUCUUGGCUGUUUAGGAAGAACUGGAGCUUAAAGAAACCAAAGAAUUUACCUAAAGUCGCUCAGCUAACUAAAAUCGGGGAAUCGGGACUUGAACCCACGUCCUUAGGCAUUGACCAUAAACAGUGAAUGAUGGCGAAGCUGAAAAACGGACUCUGGACAGAAGCAGAGAGAUGAGUAUACUGCACAAAUAUUGUUACUGAACAAUUGACACAGAUGAAAUUGGAAGAUGACUUACAAUUUGUACAUUUCAUGUGGCAAUGUUUCUUUUUUCCCCAGAAAUGAUGUUAUUAAAU